UAGGAGCGCGUAGGCGUAGCGGCCGCGGAGCGGCGCCCCAGUCAGUUUCUCUCCGGCUGUCGCGGAAAGCAGACGUGCGCUCCCCGCGCUCGCUCAGUUUCUGGCUGGCUGUCACGGAGAGCAGUCGCAUCGGUCUGUGCUCCUGCUGUGGUGAGGUGAUUUGUUGUGUAACUAAUGCUUUCGCCAACUUUGUUCCCGCUUUGUUUGCGAUUUUCGUGCCAGUGCACGUCGGGUGCUGGUUGCUGUUGUCCGGGCAUCCCCGCCAUUUUAUAUCUUCUUCUGCCUUGGGAACGGCAGUAGCGCUGGCGUGAUUCUUAAUAAUUUUGUUGUGAGAUUAGUUGAGAAAGUAACCGCUAGGGGGUUCAGCUGCGUGGCUUUAUACAGGACAAAAAAGCAUUACGAGUCAGUUUCUGCCUGCCUCUCGGAUGGAGCAGUCGCAUGGUUCUGCGCUCCUGUUCUGAGCUGUCCUAACUUGCCCAGACAUGCCAUGAUGACGUCACAGCUGACGUCACAGGAUGUCCGGAACUGGUGGUCAUAGCUGCGAUGCUUUGCAAACCUGCCUCUGUGCUCCGUCGCAGAGCGACGGUCAGCGGCCGUUCCAACCGUCAGCGGCCGUCUUCAAGAUGGCGUCGUUGAUGUUCAACUAAACUCCUUCUCUCCACUCUAUCUCUAUCUUUUUAUCUUAUUUUCUACCUAUUUUUUUAUUUUUAUCAGCUCAAGUAGCCGGCAACUCACACAGUGGUCUGGACACUAGUUAGACGCUCCCCAAUUAGUGUGAUGACUCAUUGGAUGAUGCUGAUUAAUGUGGGGGGUCCCAAUUAGCUCUAAUUGCUAAUUAAUGGCGUCCAGAUGACUGUGUGACUUGCCGGCUUCUUGAGCUGACUAUAUACUACUCGUUACAAGAACGUCUGUAUAACGGUUCCGGACGGACCCCAGGGACUGAUGAGCGAAUUUGUGAGCUUGGCCAACGCAAAAUUCAACUACAUCGCUGCAGACAUCGUGGACCUUCUCGCUCGUGCCAUCGCUCAUAUUAAGCACGCCCUACGGAAGCAGCGACAUUUGCAAGCAGUCUAUAUCGUCAACUUUGUCAUUGAUUUAUUCAAAUACCGCUUGGUUAUUGACAUGCAACGCAUUAAACAGUCCGAAUAACUUU